UUGCUUUAACUUCUCCAAGAACCCAUAACUUCACUACAAAAGCUACCAAGUCGUUAAUGACCACGAAUCAUUAGCUUGAAUGUCUCUAUGAACCUUACAAAUCUUGGAAUCAAAAUUUUGGAUUCUUUUGGAUGAAUUUGAAGAGAUAGUGAAAGAAAUGUAAUUUGUGUGCAUAAGUAAUGAGAUAUGAAGAGUAAAAAUCGAAACUUUGGUGCGUUAAGAACUUCCAAUUGGUUGUUCAUGGUGGCUAGUGUAUUGAUAACAAUAACAAUAACAAUAUUGUAAAUAGUUGAUGAAGAUGAGAAUGAUAAGGUAAAAGAAUUAUUCAAAAAAAAUAAAGAAAAAAAAAUGUGAUGGCAGUUUCGUGAAUAACUUGAAUUUUUACGGUGAAUAGAAAAAAAAAUUCAAAGAAUUAUGGGUUAUUUUUGUAUCUGACUUUAAAUUUUAGAUCAUAUUAAAAAAAAAACCCAAUGAAUGGUCCCCGUAGAACUAGAAUUCUUAGCUAGUUUUUGAAUGAUACAUUUAAUAUCGUCA
rnacentral:lncRNA from 1 species